ensembl:lncRNA
CUUAUGUGUACAACGUGGUGCUUUGUUGAAUAAAACGGAAACCAACCAACCAGAAUAUAGUCAUGUCUUUAAUUUCACAUUUCAAUAUUAUAUCACCUCGUUCAUGGAGGUAAUAGACAUUUAGGGAGGCAGAGUAUGACAGUAUGAUAACAUAAUGUAAAAAAAAAAAAAAGUUUAAUGCGUAGUCAAUUUCCAGGGGCUUCCUCUACAUGAAGCAGAGCCGCCCUGAGCCUCCACUACACGAACUCAGUGCCAGAGUGAACUUCUCCCCUGGCUACUAUUUCAAAGUUGUCAAAGCUUGAAGUCGUUUGACUCAUUUCGAUUCCAGACCGAAGCCGUAUCUAUGUAUGCGUAUGUGUACAAGGUGGUGCUUUGUUGAAUAAAACGGAAACAAACCAACCAGAAUAUAAUAAAAAAAUGUAUUUCAUUUCACAUUUCAAUAUUGUAUCACACUGCAUACUAGUCAUGUUCGGAAAAAAUAAUAAUAAUAAAAAUAAAAACUGAGAAACAACCUCGGUUGGAAAAAACGGUAUAACGGUCUCGGGAUAUAACGCGCCCUAAAACGUCGGUUAUAACGGUCUCGGUCGGAUAUAACGCGCCGGCUGGAUAAAACGACCUCGGUUGGAUAAAACCCCUCGUUUGGAUAACGGUCUCGGUCGGAUAUAACGCGCCGGCUGGAUAAAACGACCUCGGUUGGAUAAAACCCCUAAGUUGGAUAUAACGGUCUCGGUCGGAUAUAACGCGCCGGCUGGAUAAAACGACCUCGGUUGGAUAAAACCGUGGAUGUAAGUGAAUGGAAAUACAAGUCACUAUAUAACCAGCACUACUCACUGACACUCUGCGCUGUAAAACGAAACCAGAAGGGAGCUGCCAACCAUCAUCAUCAGAAGAACAAAUCAGCCAGAAGUCAGAAACACUCCGAUUGACUGCUGCUGAGGCUUGAACACUGCCAGAGAGAACUGCGUUGAUUAUGAAGGGGAAAGGUGUAAUGACUGUUUUCCUACUUGCACUUGUUGCAAAAUCCUCCGUGUCUCUUCCGAUCACUAUAACCGUGAUGUUGAAUCACCCAGUUACACCGCCCUGCUCUGGAUCAUGCCAUGGUGGCAGAAAUAAGACGGGAAGGAAAGAUCCAUAGAAUAAAUGGAACAUUCUGCCAUCACUCCGUGGAUCCAAGACCAAGAAAACACAUCCCAUCAGGAAAAAACACUGGCAUGUCACGCUCUGCUCUGCCGUCGCUGCCAGCCACCAGCAAGACUGAUACACACUUCAUCGGCGUCUCUCUACUGCCACCGUGCGAUAGUCUCGGCUCCCAUUGUGAACUUCACCCCUUUACACACCGGUAUAGCUGAGGGGAGAGAGAUUCGGAAGAAAUGCUGAGCUCUUCUGCAGCCCAGCCCACUGAAAUCCUACGAGGCCGCCUACAAUUGACACGCUACAUUGCAUCAACCAAUGGUUGUGUGCCAUGUCACUGACAAUAAAAUAUAUCUUUCAUGCAGAACUCUCCGUCUUCAGUCAUUCAAAUAAUAUGUUUAGAUAUUAAGGAGGCUGUAUGUUUGUAUUAUCACAGCACUAUAAUAAAAGGGGGGUCCUCAGAAUCCAUUGUGAGACUAAAAAC